GGUCUCGCUAUGUAGUUCAGGCUGGCCUUGAGCUCACUUUGUAGCCCAGGCUGGUCUCGAACUCGCAACGAUCCUCCUGCCUCAGCCUCCCGAGUGCUGGGAUUACAGGCGUGUGCCACCAUGC
rnacentral:miRNA from 1 species